AUUGAACGCUAGCGGGAUGCUUUACACAUGCAAGUCGAACGAGUGGCGGACGGGUGAGUAAUAUAUCGGAACGUGCCCAGUAGCGGGGGACAACUAUGCGAAAGAGUUGCUAAUAACGUAUACCAAUGGAGCGGCCGUAAUCGGAUCAGCGAGUUGGUGGGGUAAAGGCUCACCAAGACCACGAUCAGUAGCAGGUUUGAGAGGACGACCAGCCACACUGGGACUGAGACACGGCCCAGACUCCUACGGGAGGCAGCAGUGGGGAAUGUUUGACAAUGGGGGAAGCCCUGAUCCAGCGAUCCCGCGUGUAUGAGAAGGCCUUCGGGUUGUAAAGUACUUUUGGCAGAGAAGCGGUAUCUGCAGAAUAAGCACCGGCUAACUACGUGCCAGCAGCCGCGGUAAUAC
rnacentral:rRNA from 1 species